AACAGUGUAUCGUGAUGGGCUUUCUCCGCGUAUCCGGCCCGAGAGGAUCGUCAAACCCUAAUUGCUAGAUUUGUUCAUCGUCUCUCCAUUCCUGCACAUGACGCCUGAGCUUCUGUCCAUGGUUGAAACCGUCGGAAGUCGGAGCUGUAACAUCGUGUUUAAUCCCACAUUCAAUGAUCCUUAUCUCUUCAAGACGGUGUUUCUCAAUCUAUAAAAAGCUGUGUUUGCUCCGAUUCUAGGAAGCUUGAUUCGAAGUCGACCCUCACGCCAACCAUCGUAAAUGUUCACCGUCUCGCCGCCGCUUUUAGGACUGUCUCAAGACUGGUUCAGUGUUCACACCAUAGCUCCUUGAUACAGAUGGUCUAAUCUUUGGAAUGGACGCCUGAGAAGAACCGAAUGUCAGAGCAUCCUAACAAUAUGGGCCUCUGCUAGAAGUGCAGAGUGCUGUAAAAGGGAAAGACAAAGAAAAGGGCAAGUAAUAAAGUGCUGAAAAUUGUAAUCGUUUAGAUCUUGAAGAGGGUGGACGGACGUUAGUACCGCUACAUCAUGGACAUCAUCAAAGAACUUGCUAAGGUGCUCAAAGAUGAUCUCACCCCAAGAAAGAAAUCUACAAAGCUAAUGAUCCAAAACGAGCUCACCGGAUAAGCAGAAGCGGUAGAUGAAGGAGAGGAUGAGAAGAAAUAAGAACAUGGUAUGAAUUUUUGUUGUUUUGUUUGAGUCUGAACUAUGCAAAGCAUUUUUGUUUUUGGUAGCAAGAGGAAGAAGCUGCAUAGCCAGGUAGGUUUUAUGUAUGUCUAUACCAUUUAACAAAAAGUCUCCUUAGAUAACCGUCUGAUUUGUGAGGGUCUCUUUCGAACAAUAUUCAGUGGGAAUAAAUAAAGAAUAUGAUUGUCUUAUUAUAUAGGUUAUCAACUUAAACAACUACUCACUAAUUUAAUCGUCUCUCCCUUUCAUUGCAGACUUUGUGGGCAAGACGUACUACUGUUAAACAUCAUACAUUGACAAUAGCUUUAUGGUUUGCAUACAUGUUGGUAUCAGUAUCACCAAUAUCUUUCAUAUUUCUUUUUCUCCAUGUUACAUCACCUGUUCUUAUUUAUUUCUUCAGUUCGCUUUUAAAUUAAAAUUGUGAUUUUUUUGCGUUUCUUCA